AUACUUACCUCGCAAGGGAGACACCGUGAUCAAGAAGGCGGUUCACCCAGGGCGAGGCUGAGCCAUUGCACUCCGACUGUGCUGACACCUGCGAAUUUCCCAAAUGUGGAAAUCUCGAUUGCAUAAUUUCUGGUAGUGGGGGACUGCGUUCGCGCUCUCCCCUG
rnacentral:snRNA from 8 species